GACGAACCGGUGCGAACGUUGUUCGGAAUCACUGGGCUUAAAGGGCGCGUAGGCGGACCAUCAAGUCGGGGGUGAAUCUUUCCGAGCCCAACUGGAAAGGCUUCCGAUACUGGUGGUGCUCGAGGCGAGGUGAGGGGUGCGUAGGGGACGUAAUGGUGGAGCGGUGAAAUGCGUAGAUAUCAUUAGGAACGCCGGUGGCGAAAGCGCGUCGACUGGACCUCUUCUGACGGCUGAGGCGACCGGAAAGCCCAAGGGGAGGCAAAACACGGG
rnacentral:rRNA from 1 species